rnacentral:rRNA from 1 species
AGGACGACGCUGGCGGCGUGCCUAACACAUGCAAGUCGAGCGAGGAGAUCCUUCGGGAUGAUCCUAGCGGCGGACGGGUGAGUAACACGUGGGCAACCUGCCUCAUAGAGAGGAAUAGCCUUCCGAAAGGGAGAUUAAUACCUCAUAACAUUGCAGUUUCGCAUGGAACAGCAAUUAAAGGAGCAAUCCACUAUGAGAUGGGCCCGCGGCGCAUUAGCUAGUUGGUGAGGUAACGGCUCACCAAGGCGACGAUGCGUAGCCGACCUGAGAGGGUGAUCGGCCACAUUGGGACUGAGACACGGCCCAGACUCCUACGGGAGGCAGCAGUGGGGAAUAUUGCACAAUGGGGGAAACCCUGAUGCAAGCAACGCCGCGUGAGUGAUGACGGCCUUCGGGUUGUAAAGCUCUGUCUUCAGGGACGAUAAUGACGGUACCUGAGGAGGAAGCCACGGCUAACUACGUGCCAGCAGCGGC